AAAAAAGGCGGGGCGGCGGCCUACACAUGCAAGUCGAACGCGUGCCUUCGGGCACGAGUGGCGGACGGGUGAGAAACGCGUGGGAAUUUGCCUUGGGGUACGGAAUAACCGUGGGAAACUGCGGCUAAUACCGUAUACGUCCUUCGGGAGAAAGAUUUAUCGCCCCAAGAUGAGCCCGCGUCCGAUUAGGUAGUUGGUGAGGUAACGGCUCACCAAGCCUUCGAUCGGUAGCUGGUCUGAGAGGAUGAUCAGCCACACUGGGACUGAGACACGGCCCAGACUCCUACGGGAGGCAGCAGUGGGGAAUAUUGGACAAUGGGGGAAACCCUGAUCCAGCCAUGCCGCGUGAGUGAAGAAGGCCUUAGGGUUGUAAAGCUCUUUCGGUGGUGACGAUGAUGACGGUAGCCACAGAAGAAGCCCCGGCUAACUCCGUGCCAGCAGCCGCGGUAAUACGGAGGGGGCAAGCGUUGUUCGGAAUUACUGGGCGUAAAGGGCGCGUAGGCGGAUGAUCAAGUCAGAGGUGAAAGCCCUGGGCUCAACCUAGGAGGUGCCUUUGAAACUGAUUGUCUUGAGUACGGGAGAGGAUAGCGGAAUUCCCAGUGUAGAGGUGAAAUUCGUAGAUAUUGGGAAGAACACCAGUGGCGAAGGCGGCUAUCUGGCCCGUAACUGACGCUGAGGCGCGAAAGCGUGGGGGAGCAAACAGGAUUAGAUACCCUGGUAGUCCACGCCGUAAACGAUGUGUGCUAGCCGUUGGGGGCGCGUACGUCUCGGUGGCGCAGCUAACGCUUUAAGCACACCGCCUGGGGAGUACGGCCGCAAGGUUAAAACUCAAAUGAAUUGACGGAAGGGC
rnacentral:rRNA from 1 species